rnacentral:rRNA from 1 species
AACUAUAACGGUCCUAAGGUAGCGAAAUUCCUUGUCAGGUAAGUUCUGACCCGCACGAAAGGCGUAACGAUUUGGGCGCUGUCUCAGCUGUAGACUCGGUGAAGUCUUAGUACCUGUGAAGAUGCAGGUUACCCGCGACUAGACGGAAAGACCCCAUGGAGCUUCACUGCAGGUUGAUAUUGGGAUUUGAUGCAGCAUGUACAGGAUAGGUAGGAGGCAAAGAGAUGGAUACGCCAGUAUUCAAGGAGCCGCUGUUGGGAUACUACCCCUGUUGUAUUGGAUUUCUAACCGGACGACGUAGAGCCGUUGACGGGACAGUGUCAGUCGGGCAGUUUGACUGGGGCGGUCGCCUCCCAAAGAGUAACGGAGGCGCCCAAAGAUACCCUCAGCUUGGAUGGAAACCAAGCGCAGAGUGCAAAGGCAAAAGGGUGUUUGACUGCGAGACCCACAAGUCGAGCAGGGACGAAAGUCGGGCUUAGUGAUCCGGCGGUGCUGAAUGGAAAGGCCGUCGCUCAACGGAUAAAAGCUACCCUGGGGAUAACAGGCUGAUCUCCCCCAAGAGUUCACAUCGACGGGGAGGUUUGGCACCUCGAUGUCGGCUCAUCGCAUCCUGGAGCUGAAGUCGGUUCCAAGGGUUGGGCUGUUCGCCCAUUAAAGCGGUACGCGAGCUGGGUUCAGAACGUCGUGAGACAGUUCGGUCCCUAUCUGUCGUGGGCGCAGGAAAUUUGAGAAGAGCUGUCCUCAGUACGAGAGGACCGGGAUGGACGCAUCAAUGGUGGACCAGUUGUCACGCCAGUGGCAUAGCUGGGUAGCUAAAUGCGGAAGGGAUAAACGCUGAAGGCAUCUAAGUGUGAAACCCACUUCAAGAUGAGAUUUCCCAUUGCGCAAGCAAGUAAGACCCCUUAAAGACGAUAAGGUAGAUAGGUCAGGAGUGUAAGCAUGGUGACAUGUUAAGCGGACUGAUACUAAUAGGUCGAGGGCUUGACCGA